GAUGUUGGGACACAGGCCAGCAAGCUUGUCCUCCCCAGCCACAGGAUUGCUUUAGCAUAAACUGAGACUCGCUGGCAGAAGCUUGCUUCCUUUUAAACACGGUAUUUUACAAGUUGAAAAGUCAAGAGGAGGAUGCCACGGCAGCUCGCAGGCUCCCUACACCAAAAGCAAAGCACUAACGGAAAACAGAAGCCAGCUCCGAACUGCUAAACGUGCAGGAAAUGCAAGGACAAAAAAUGGAGCAGAGA